rnacentral:piRNA from 1 species
UGCACAGGUACCACAGCAAGCCAGUGCUGC